rnacentral:rRNA from 1 species
GUGAGGAAUUUUCCGCAAUGGGCGAAAGCCUGACGGAGCAAUACCGCGUGAAGGAUGAAGGCCUAUGGGUUGUAAACUUCUUUUCUCAGAAAAGAAUUAUGACGGUAUCUGAGGAAUAAGCAUCGGCUAACUCUGUGCCAGCAGCCGCGGUAAGACAGAGGAUGCAAGCGUUAUCCGGAAUGAUUGGGCGUAAAGCGUCUGUAGGUUGUUUAAAAAGUAUUCUGUCAAAGAUUAGGGCUUAACCCUAGAUAGGCAGAAUAAACUUUUAAGCUAGAGUUUGGUAGAGUCAGAGGGAAUUCCCGGUGGAGCGGUGAAAUGCGUAGAUAUCGGGAGGGACACCAAAGGCGAAGGCACUCUGCUGGGCCAAUACUAACACUGAGAGACGAAAGCGAGGGGAGCAAAUGGGAUUAGAUACCCCGGUAGUCC